rnacentral:rRNA from 1 species
GUCUACAGCCAUACCACCCUAAACAUGCCUGAUAUCGCCAGCCUAAGCAGGGUCCAGCCUGGUUAGUACUUGGAUGGGAGGCCGCCUGGGAAUACCGGGCGCUGUAGGCU